CUUGUCAGCGAUAAGGCAUUGGCGGAACCAAAACCGCAAAAGUGGCUUGGUGCCUCAAGAAGCUUGUGGCGUCAUUACAAGCGGUGAAAGCCUGCAAGGUACAUAGGGUAAACAAAUUUGGGCAGAGGCCGACGGGAAUGACGCUCCCGUCGGUUUUUG
rnacentral:sRNA from 12 species